UACGAAGGGGGCUAGCGUUGCUCGGAAUCACUGGGCGUAAAGCGCACGUAGGCGGCUUUCUAAGUCAGGGGUGGAAUCCUGGAGCUCAACUCCAGAACUGCCUUUGAUACUGGAGAGCUAGAGUCCGGAAGAGGUGAGUGGAACUGCGAGUGUAGAGGUGAAAUUCGUAGAUAUUCGGAAGAACACCAGUGGCGAAGGCGACUCACUGGACACAUAUUGACGCUGAGGUGCGAAAGCGUGGGGAGCAAACAGG
rnacentral:rRNA from 1 species